rnacentral:lncRNA from 1 species
UUUUUUUUUUUUUUUUAAAAGAGGGCAGUUCUUAAGCAGAGGGACCCGUUCGUAACAGGGAAUUAGAAUACAAAUCAGAAUGUAGGAAUAAAAGAGAAGCGAACGUGGAGGAUUGCAACUCACUGGAUACAGGGAUGCCAAGGGGAUCUACUGUGUUUAUGAUAAUGUAUAAAUACAUUUUAGACUCUAUUGCUGAAGAAAAAACACCUGAAAUACUCCCAAACUUCUCUGUGACCCGGGGUUGGAGUGGGACUGACCUUAAAGGUGGAAGACAUACAGCAUUUGCAGCUAGGCUAGAGUAGGCUGCGGCCAGAAUAUUGACUUACAUACAGCAAUGGAUAUCAACUCAAAGUACUAGAUUUCUUGAUCUUUUCAAUUUGAGGAGAGAACAUCUGAUGAAAUAUGAAGUUAGUGAACGGAUUUGGAGUAUGUAGCUAAAUUUAUAAUGGAGUCAAUCAGGAAAAAUUCUCUACCAAUUAAACCUUUGCUUUUGUCAUAUUCAGUAGCAGAAAAAUUGCUACUUGUCCGAUUCCAGAUAUGAGAGGCAAUCAGAAUACACAGUGAGUGCCUGAGGGUGACUUUUUAGGGGUUAAAUAUAGCUUUGCAUCAUUAUCUUAUGUGGAAAAAAAAUCCCAUUAUGACAGCAAAUCAGAUCUAAUCUGGCACUCCCUUUGCUACAAUUAUAUAAAAUAUGGUGGAAACUUGUCAAAGCUUUCAGUGAGAAAUGAGGCUACUGAUGCUUGGCAGCCCCCUUUUUGAGCACAGUAGAGAAUCACGUUGCUUAGCUACAGCCUUUGGCUGAUUUAGAAAGCUAGAAAUGACUGUAUUAUAUGAGAGUUAAACUCUACUCCCGGAUUUUUUUUUUUCCCUAAGGGAAAAAGGCUUAUUUACCACUUUCUUAUUUUUUGGAUCUCUUUACCAAGUCAUUUAUGUGUAUUCACCUAGGAUGAGUUUCGAUUUAUCAUUGUUUUUCCCUCCCUGGGGGGGUUAUAGAUUGAGAGAGAACAAGUGGGUGGUUGAUGAUACCCACAGAACAUAAAGUAUUGAAAUAACUUAAAUACUUUUGCCCAAAAAAUAAAGUGUAAGUAUCUAUUUUAGAUUUUUUUGUCAUUUGAGGUCAUUGUAUUUUUCCCCCUCUUUCAGCCUACUCGUAGUUUGAGUUGCUCUUGUCCUUAUAAUGCAUAAGAAUGCAAAAUAUUUAAUUUUGGUUUUGUAUUUCAAGAUGUAAGCUGAUUUAUAGAUGUAUGGAAAGGUAUAGAGAACAGCGCGUGAAACUGAUGAAGCCGAAGUAAGAGAGAGGCUGGAAUUGAAACUAAAACACUAAAAACAGAAGGAUUAAGGGGAAAAGCAAAGAACAACUGUAAACAGAGAAGUUUACAGCAGUUAUUGUAAAGCAGAAAAGUGUGUAAAGGGGGAAAUGUCAGAUGUGUCAGAGCCCGUUUCAAUGAGAUAAAAAUACUCAAGGACUCUUAAAUCUGGAGAUUUUAAAAGGCUUUUGGCUCAUGCUCUGUCUCCAGAAAGGAGUAUUUUUUAUACUGCUCUAAAUAUGUGAAUAUCCACUUUAUUUUUAUAGCUCUUCAGGAAGGAGAGCUGUCCCUCAGCAAUGCUUUCUAACAUCUUACCAUAAUUAUUGUAAUGAAGUAGAGCCAUGACCUAAUCUUGAUUAUGUAAUUAUUCAGUGGAUUUUACUAUUGGUUUGUUAGUACAAUCUGUUUCAUACAUGCAAAAGCAAUUUUUCCUGCUUUACAAUUCCCUGAUUACCUGGAGAAACAUCUAUAGAAUUGAUUCUGUAUUUACUUUCAGAAAUAGGAUAAUGGAUAAUCGUUGCUACAGGCUUGGCUCCAUUGCAAUUCUCAUUCUGUUGAAGCUAGAAUUCAUAGACUUAGAAGCUAAACAACUUUGUUUAUGAGCUUUGUGCUUACUCUGGUCUGCAAAUCACCUUCAUUUGCCACUUUUUAAAAUAUGGUCAUUUAAUACCGUCAUAUUCAAAAUGCAGUCCUGGAAUCCCUGGGGGGCCCUCAAGACCCUGUUAAGGGCGUCUGUGAAGUUGGAACUAUUUUCCUAAUAAUUCAGAGACAUUAUUUGCCUUCUGAACUCUCUAUUCUCUUAGGGGUGUACAGAGACUUCAUAAGAUAUGACAUAGAAACAGACUGAAUGCAGAAAGAAAUAUGAGACUCUAGUUGUCUUUUAAUAAGCCAGACUUUAAGGAGACUUGCAGAAAUGUAAGACAAUGAUACUCUUCCUGCUAAUUUUUUUUUUGAAAAUACAGUUACUUUUUGUAAAUACAUUAUUUGUGUUAACAUGUUAUGAGCUUAUUGUUUUUAAAAUUUUUUAUUUUUUUAAGUAUAGUAGAUUACAAUGUUUUGUUAGUUUCUGCUGUACAGCAAGUGAUUCAAUUAUACACACACACACACACACAUAACUUUUUUAUGUGUUCUUUUCUUUCUUUCUUUUUUUUUUUAAUUUUCCCACUGUACAGCAAGGGGGCCAGGGAUCGAACCCGCAACCUCACGGUUCCUAGUCAGAUUCGUUAACCACUGCGCCACGACAGGAACUCCCUCAUGUUGAAAUUUUAAAUGUAAAUUAAAAGUCAUUUUCACACUGAAGCAUAUUUUUAAAACAUUUUAUAUAAAUAUAUUGUCCUGUAUUUCCUGUAUUUUUUUUUCUUGAAACAGUAUCUCAGAGUAGCUACAAGUGCUGGCUUUGGAUUCACAUUGCUUGGGUUUCUUAACCUUUUAAUGCCUCCAAGUUCUUUAAAUGGGAAUUGUUCUAUGAUGUAUGCAAAAUGCUUUCCACAUAUAUUCUCUAUAAAUACCAGGUAUUUUCCAUAGCACUUUGUAUGCUUGAAAUAAUUACUUAUUGAUAAUUACUUACGUCUGUCUUCUAUGCUAAACUGUAAGCUCCCCCAGGGCAGAAACCAUCAGUUAUGUUCACCACGGUUAUCUCAAGUGCCAUAACAAUGUCUUUAAUAUAGGCAUUCAACAAAUGUUUGUUGUGGUCAGCUGCUUAAUAUUCUUCAGUGACUUUCCUUAACCUCUAAGGUAAAACCUACCUUAUAUACAUGGCUUUCUAUAUCUAAAUUUCUUCUCAUUCCACAAUACCCAGAUAGAUACUUGCCUUCCAUAAUUCUACCGUGGUGUUUCAUGAAUUUAUUUGCACAUGGUCUUCCUUUGGAAUAACAUACGACUUACUCCUUUGGCCACCAGGCAGAUUCUUGCUUAUCCUCUGAAUCCUAGACUUUCCUCCUCUGUGACCACUUUGCAGUCUAUUACCCACUUCAGUCAGAGCAGGUUGUCACCUACAAGCCACUGUAGUACAGUGUACAUAUUUUUAUUUUAACAUCUAUAAUGGUAUAGUAAAGUGAACUGAUUAUUCUUACAGUAGCUAGUUUUAUCAGAUGCUUGCACUCUUCUCGUGUCUGUAAGUAUUGUGUGUAUGCAUAUGUAUAUAAAUACAUAUAAAGAUUAAUUUAAUCCUCAAAACAGUCCUAGAAAAUACCUGUUAUUAUUCCAGCUUUACAGAUGAGGAAAAUGAAGAUCAGCUAUUUAAAAAAAUUAAUAUGGGUUACAUCUUAAUUAAGAAUUUGGACUGACCAGUUGCUGAUGCAACGAUACCUUGAGGCAAGGGCUGUGGCCUACUCAUAUGUGUUAUUGGUACAGCUACCCUUGUAAAUUAAAUUCAUGUAUAAUAUCAUAUUCAUGUUAUAGAGCAUCUCUUAUGGUGACUGUUUUCAUCACUUUAUCACACCCAUAAGAAAGAUUAAUUCUACCACAGCUUGCCAGAUACCCUCUUUAGUAAUGGAACAUUCCAGGCGUAACCUGGUUACUUAUGAUACUCUUCCUACUGUCUAAAUACCUUCUUGGAUACUUAGAUUGUAGGUCUUGUAACUUUAAUUUGUUUUAUAUUUUACUUCAUUUAUUUCAUCUAUUCAUUGCAAGCAGUUCUAAUUAAAAAUGAAUAGGGGUUCAAUUAAAAUUGAUGGUUUUAAUUCUUAUGAGAGAACUUCUAUUAUUACAAAUACUAUAAUCAGCUACUAUUAUUUUUAGAAUCAAAAACUCUGUGCAUGCCACAAUGACUUAGUUAUGUGCUUUAGUUUCUAUUGUUUUUCAUUUGUGAUAGAUGCAUUUUGAAAAAGGGUGUAAAGAAUUCAGAGCAGGUGGCUCUAUAAAUUGACUAGUGAUUAUUCUCAAUUCACCAUUGUCAAGUAUUUUUGUCACUUAUCUAGAUUUGAAAGAAUGAACACAUAAUGCUUUUAAAAGCUGCAUCUCUCUUUUUGACAUAAAAAUAAACAGCUUUGCAAAUACUCUUCAGCUAACUCCAUUACUCCACAAUCAAACCACAAAAUUAAAAAUUAGGUUAUUUUCUUGAUAGGAAGCUUUUCAGUAUAUAUAAGUGUAUAAUUGGAAAAUCUUUUUUCAAUUUUUAGCCCUCCCUUACUACCUCCCUCUUCUUUCCUUACUUUUCUCUUUUUUCCUUUUCCCUAUCCUCUGCUCUUUUCCUUUCCCCCUUUCAUAUUCUUGUCUCUCUUUUGC